rnacentral:rRNA from 1 species
UACGAAGGGGGCUAGCGUUGCUCGGAAUCACUGGGCGUAAAGGGUGCGUAGGCGGGUCUUUAAGUUCAGGGGUGAAAUCCUGGAGCUCAACUCCAGAACUGCCUUUGAUACUGAAGAUCUUGAGUUCGGGAGAGGUGAGUGGAACUGCGAGUGUAGAGGUGAAAUUCGUAGAUAUUCGCAAGAACACCAGUGGCGAAGGCGGCUCACUGGCCCGAUACUGACGCUGAGGCACGAAAGCGUGGGGAGCAAACAGG